rnacentral:rRNA from 1 species
UACGUAGGGUGCGAGCGUUAAUCGGAAUUACUGGGCGUAAAGCGUGCGCAGGCGGUUCGUUGUGUCUGUGGUGAAAGCCCCGGGCUUAACCUGGGAAUGGCCAUGGAAACUGGCGAGCUGGAGUGUGGCAGAGGGGGGUGGAAUUCCGCGUGUAGCAGUGAAAUGCGUAGAGAUGCGGAGGAACACCAGCGGCGAAGGCGGGUAGCUGGGCCAACACUGACGCUGAUGUGCGAAAGCUAGGGGAGCAAACGGG